rnacentral:rRNA from 1 species
AGAGUUUGAUCAUGGCUCAGAAUCAACGCUGGCGGCGUGCCUCAGACAUGCAAGUCGAACGAUUAAAGCUCUCUUCGGAGAGUGCAUAGAGUGGCGCACGGGUGAGUAACACGUAAGUAAUCUACCUUCGAGUGGGGAAUAACGUCCGGAAACGGACGCUAAUACCGCAUAAUGCAGCGGCAUCGCAAGAUGACAGUUGUUAAAGAUUUAUCGCUUGAAGAGGAGCUUGCGGCAGAUUAGCUAGUUGGUAAGGUAAUGGCUUACCAAGGCUACGAUCUGUAACCGGUCUUAGAGGACGGUCGGUCACACUGACACUGAAUAACGGUUCAGACUCCUACGGGAGGCAGCAGUCGGGAAUUUUGGGCAAUGGGCGAAAGCCUGACCCAGCAACGCCGCGUGAAGGAUGAAGUAUUUCGGUAUGUAAACUUCGAAAGAAUGGGAAGAAUAAAUGACGGUACCAUUUAAGGUCCGGUCGCUACUACGAGCAGCCGCGGUAAUAC